ACGAUGUUUUCGGAUAUCGUAUGAGUGGCAGACGGGUGAGUAACGCGUGGGAACGUACCUAAUGGUUCAGAAUAACUACGGGAAACUGUAGCUAAUACUGGAUAAGCCCUGAGGGGGAAAGAUUUAUUGCCAUUAGAGCGGCCCGCGUUAGAUUAGGUAGUUGGUGAGGUAAAGGCUCACCAAGCCGACGAUCUAUAGCUGGUCUGAGAGGAUGAUCAGCCACACUGGGACUGAGACACGGCCCAGACUCCUACGGGAGGCAGCAGUGGGGAAUAUUGGACAAUGGGGGCAACCCUGAUCCAGCAAUGCCGCGUGAGUGAUGAAGGCCUUCGGG
rnacentral:rRNA from 1 species